rnacentral:rRNA from 1 species
CCUACGUGUGGCAGCAGUGGGGAAUUUUGCACAAUGGGCGAAAGCCUGACGCAGCUACUCCGCGUGUGGGAUGAAGGCCUUCGGAUUGUAAACCCCUUUUGUAAAGGACGAACAGUCACUUUUCUAAUCAGCGUGUAGCUGACGGUACCCUAAGAGUAAGCACCGGCUAACUCCGUGCCAGCAGCCUCGGUAAUACGUAGGGUGCGAGCGUUAAUCGGAAUUACUGGGCGUAAAGGGCGCGUAGGCGGUUUAGUAAGACAGAUGUGAAAUCCCCGAGCUUAACUUGGGAACUGCAUAUGAGACUGGGAGACUAGAGUGUGUGAGAGGGAGGUGGAAUUCGAGGUGUAGGAGUGAAAUGCGUAGAUAUGUGGAGGAACA